rnacentral:rRNA from 1 species
GAUGAACGCUGGCGGCGUGCCUAAUACAUGCAAGUCGAGCGAACAGACGAGGAGCUUGCUCCUCUGACGUUAGCGGCGGACGGGUGAGAAACACGUGGAUAACCUACCUAUAAGACUGGGAUAACUUCGGGAAACCGGAGCUAAUACCGGAUAAUAUAUUGAACCGCAUGGUUCAAUAGUGAAAGACGGUUUUGCUGUCACUUAUAGAUGGAUCCGCGCCGCAUUAGCUAGUUGGUAAGGUAACGGCUUACCAAGGCGACGAUGCGUAGCCGACCUGAGAGGGUGAUCGGCCACACUGGAACUGAGACACGGUCCAGACUCCUGCGGGAGGCAGCAGUAGGGAAUCUUCCGCAAUGGGCGAAAGCCUGACGGAGCAACGCCGCGUGAGUGAUGAAGGUCUUCGGAUCGUAAAACUCUGUUAUUAGGGAAGAACAAAUGUGUAAGUAACUAUGCACGUCUUGACGGUACCUAAUCAGAAAGCCACGGCUAACUACGUG